GAUGAACGCUGGCGGCGUGCCUAAUACAUGCAAGUCGAGCGAACAGACGAGGAGCUUGCUCCUCUGACGUUAGCGGCGGACGGGUGAGUAAAACGUGGAUAACCUACCUAUAAGACUGGGAUAACUUCGGGAAACCGGAGCUAAUACCGGAUAAUAUAUUGAACCGCAUGGUUCAAUAGUGAAAGACGGUUUUGCUGUCACUUAUAGAUGGAUCCGCGCCGCAUUAGCUAGUUGGUAAGGUAACGGCUUACCAAGGCAACGAUGCGUAGCCGACCUGAGAGGGUGAUCGGCCACACUGGAACUGAGACACGGUCCAGCCUCCUACGGGAGGCAGCAGUAGGGAUUCUUCCGCAAUGGGCGAAAGCUUGACGGAGCAACGCCGCGUGAGUGAUGAAGGUCUUCGGAUCUUAAAACUCUGUUAUUAGGGAAGAACAAAUGUGUAAGUAACUAUGCACGUCUUGACGGUACCUAAUCAGAAAGCCACGGCUAACUACGUG
rnacentral:rRNA from 1 species